rnacentral:tRNA from 1 species
AUUUGUGUAGCUCAGUGGUAGAGCGCUUGCCUAGCAUGUGGGGGGCUCUGAGUUUAAUUCCCAGCAUUGCAAAUG